rnacentral:rRNA from 1 species
CAGUACCGCGGGAAUACGUAGGUGGCGAACGUUGUCCGGAAUUAUUGGGCGUAAAGGGAGCGCAGGCGGACAUAUAAGUCCAUCUUAAAAGUGCGGGGCUCAACCCCGUGAGGGGAUGGAAACUGUAUGCCUUGAGUGCAGGAGAGGAAAGCGGAAUUCCCAGUGUAGCGGUGAAAUGCGUAGAUAUUGGGAGGAACACCAGUGGCGAAGGCGGCUUCCUGGACUGUAACUGACGCUGAAGCUCGAAAGCCAGGGGAGCGAACGGGAUUAGAUACCCGCGUAGUCCCUGUCUCUUAUACAC